UACGAGGGGGGCAAGCGUUGUUCGGAAUUAUUGGGCGUAAAGGGUGCGUAGGCGGUCUGAUAAGUCAUCUGUGAAAUCUAUGGGCUCAACCCAUAGUCUGCAGGCGAAACUGUCGGGCUUGAGUAUGGGAGAGGUGAGUGGAAUUUCCGGUGUAGCGGUGAAAUGCGUAGAUAUCGGAAGGAACACCUGUGGCGAAAGCGGCUCACUGGACCAUUACUGACGCUGAUGCACGAAAGCUGGGGGAGCAAACAGG
rnacentral:rRNA from 1 species